CUUUUGCGGGCAACUUUCCACUCUCCUGUGCUGACUGAAACGAAGUAUGACACCAGUCUUGCCCAGGCAAGCUGCUUCUUGUGAAUAGGAAGUGAACAACCCUGGAUUCCAGGCCAGGGGGAGAGAGAUAUGAACUCAUCAGCAGAAAUGUGAGUUCUUCCCAGCUUCUCCGUGCUGAUACCCCAUGGUUCUCCUACCACCAGAUGCUACUGAGGCUAAACUGACUGGACUGAGGAAAAAUAUCUGUGGGGAAAACUUUCUUUCAGAAUCCAACUUUGAACCAGAGAAAUCCAUUCUCUUGAAGCUGUCUGCUGUGGAGAAGUUGGCCUUACCAAUCUGCCUUUGAAGUUCAAGUUAUACAGGAUCUGCGAGGCUACCUGUGAAUGAAUGGUUGGUUGGUCACUACUUGCAAGUUUUUCAGGAGCUCCUGAAAGAUUACUGCAUAAAUAAGGGAAGAUGGAGACCAGACCUCUGGCUACUGUUGCUGCCACCACUACAGAUACCACCUUCACCCUUAUGAACCCCCUAUUUACUGAACAUUCUCUAUAUGCCAGAAUAAACUUUUUAGAAAAUUUCCGAGGAAGUUUGGAAAUUGACUGCAUGGCAAGAUAGCAGAAGAAUGUGCAGCAUUUUGCUAUCACAUACAGUGAGGUACAAAUAAGGGCCAUUCAGAUGGGCUCCAAACAAGCAUCUCUCCAGCUGUGAAAAGAAGGCGCUGCUUUGGGAGACUAUGCAGGCUUUGGAAAUUAAGUAGAAGAAAAAUCUGAACACAUGGGAGAAGAUCCCUAGCAGCCAUCUCCUCUGGCUUCCCCGGUCCACACAAUACCUAGAAUCAAGCUCCAGGAGAUCAGUAUGCUGACUGGUGACUUUUAAAUAAAAAUAAAAUCAAACACCUGUGCAUCAGGCAACAUGAACUGCUGGAGUUUCCACACGGAUCCUGCUACAGGUCCAGCUUGCUCAUAAAGAUGGGUUCAUUUCUCAAGUGAAAUAUAGAGGAGACUUAUUAGAGUAGCAGCGACAUGAUAAGUGAAUAUUCUGCCAGCUUUUUUUUCCUCCUUUUAUAUAAGUUGAAUGCUGUCUCUAGUCUCUUCAAGUAGAAUUCUGAUUUAAAAGAAAGAAGAAAAGAGGAGAGAAGAAGAUGGGAAGAAAAAAAAAGAAGGAUUGUUAUCUCUGGCUGGAAACAAGAAAUCUCUAGACAUGCACUUCCUAGAGCCCACUAAUGUCUUUACCUCUGACUUGACUAAUUUUCAUUGGAAUUUUAGUUUGGUUGCUUCCCUGUGAUCUCAUUAGGACAUCAUGAUUUAUGUGCCUCCAUUACAAGAGCACCAGUUGUUAGUCUUAUUCUCACCCAGCCUCACCUCACCUCCCAAAAAACAGUUAAAAAAUUUUUAAAUAACUUCAUGUAAAGUUUAUAUACACACACACACACACACACACACACACACAUACAUACAAUACACAUACACAUUAUGUAUAUAUAUAUAUAUAUGUAUGUAUUUGGUUGCUUUUUAUUUGUAAUUAUUGUUUUUAUUUUUCUAUGUCGUAACUCCAUGCAGCCAUUUGAGAUAAUUAAGAUAAUUCAGUGGCAAACUAUGUGAAGGUGGUCAAUGUUCAAUACUCUUGUUUGCAGUCUGUUAGCAUUCUAAUCUCCAGAAUUAUUUUAUUACUACUACUAUGACUACCACUGCAAUCAUCAUCCUUAUAGUUAUUAUUAAUCACAAUGAUUAUUAAUGAUGAUGAUAACAAUCCUUACUUCUUUUUUGAUUUCAUCUUCCUCUCCUUGCACAUUUAUUUUCGUGGUUGCCUGUUUCUUCUGCACUAGUUUUUGUUCUUCAGAGUGUUUGCUUAACUGCCAUUCCAUUUUAAUAGCGAGUUUUCUCUUAUUACAUUAUGUGAUGGAGCACUGAUAUACGGUUUUUUCAUGAAAUAGGCAAUGAACAAAUACCAUAUGACCCCCAACCUCAACUCUCCAUCUCCUUCCAACUCACUUCAGUUUCAUUCUCCAGAAAAGUAGAAACCUUGAAGUGUUUCAUAUGUUUCAUUCAAAUUAUUUUAUAUACACACACACACAAAUAUUUUUACGCAGAGGGGCAUAUAUUAUGCAUCAUAUUCUGAAAAUAUCUUGUUUCAUCGAACUCUACAAUGUAUGUCUUUCCAUGUCAUGAGUACUUCAUUCUUUUUACCAAUUUUUCCUUUCUGAUGUAAGGUAGCAUCAACUUAUAGUCAACAAUUUUAAAAUCAGAUUUUUGUUCUUGGAUUUUGAAACUACAAAUGAACACAUACUCAUUUUAGAAGUAAAAAUUAUAUAGAAAUAUAUUGACUGCCCCCUCCUCCAAUUUUAUCCCUUUGUAAUACCCAUGUUAUUCGUAGGUUAAUGGGUUAGCAAGGAAUGAGAAUGCCCAUUUUUAUAAAGACUUAUCAUCACUGACGGUUAUCAAUCUUUGAUUUUUCUAACUGGAUGAGUGAAAAGAUGUUCUCAUUUUUCCCUAAAGUCAUCUUUAAUUAGUCAUUUACAUUUCCUAUUCCAUAAUUUUUCUUUUGAUUACUUUUGUCUACUUAAUGUUGAAUUGCUUUUUUUCAAUUUAUAUGUGCAUGUUUUACAUGAGCAAUAUUAUUCCUUUUUUGCAUUUAGAUGGUUACUCACUGUCCAUUGUUUGUCUUUUAAGUUAUGUUGGGUAUCUUUGUCAUGCUGAAAUUCUUAAUUUUCUGUAUAUACAGAGAAAAUAUCUGAAAUUUUAAUUUAAAUGUUAUAUAAAGUAACAUUUUAAUGUCAUAUAAAAUUCAGGCACCAAUUUUAUGUUUCCUUAACUUCAUCUCAAUGUAUUCUUUAUUUGCUCCUUUUCAGAUUCUUGGGAAGUGAAGCUCCUCCUAUUUGCAAAGAAAAACUCCUUCCCUUGAAAUUCAGACACACAACAUCCCUACCUUGCAUCCUUUUGAACCUAUAGUUGCUUGACAUAAAGUUUUUUUUUAAUGUCCAUGUUGUAGAAAUAUUUUUGUGAUUCUAUACUUAAAUUCUACUUACAUUCAUUGUAACCAGAAACAACUCUAAUUAUACAUUUUGGAAAGUAUUGAGAUUGUGAGCUAUUCUAAGAACAUUUACAUGACUGUUCUAUGGAAACUUUUAAAGCAAAUAUGCUCUCCUUUUACAUCAUACAGAAUUAUGUACAUAUCUAUCUAUAUAUACAUAACUAUCUUUAUUUAUAUCAGACACCUAUAGAAUCUAUUUCUGUCAUUGUUACAUGUGUCUUUCUUUACUUCUCCUGUUGUAGACUUAGGUAAGUGAAUAACAUUGUCUACUUAUUUCUCCUAUUGUUUUGCUUUAUAAAUGUUGACUGCAUGCUACUUGGUACAUAGACCUUUAUAAAUGUAAAAUAUUUAUUGUGAAUUUUACCUCUUCAUAUUUUUUAUGAAUGCCGACUUCUUCAAACAUAAGUUUACCUACUUUUGUAGGGGGUGUGUGUGUGUGUGUCUGUGUGUGUUGGUAUUGAACAUUAUUUCUGUUUAGCCAUUUGACUAAAACCAAAACAAAUGAGAUAUUAUGGUUAUAGUAAGUGUGUAUGUGUGUGUGUAUGUGUGUGCAUGUGCAUGCAUGUGUGACCAUCUCCUGAUCAUUCAACUUUGCACUUUAAUUGUACUAUAUUGUUAUUUGACUUAACAAAACUUUAGUAAAA
rnacentral:lncRNA from 1 species